CCCAACACACACCAGGAGGUGGUGGUGGCCAGUCAGGCCAAUGCCAGUCUCUGCUCUCACCCACCACUCUGUCCCCAAGGGGUUCCCGAAUGUAUCAGGAAGGUGGCCUUCUGCUGGUGACUGCUGCCAGACAGGGCCCUUCGGUGACCUCUCCUGUCCCUGGCCUGCCGUGGACAUAAGUGCAGCUGCCCACACCCCUGCCCAGGCUUUGGUGGGGGAAAGGCCUAGGGGCCAGCGCAGAUAUACCACAGGCUCCGUCCAGCCUGGACAGUCCUUGUCUGCAUCUCAGUGCCCGGGGCUGACUCUGUCCAGAUGCAGAGAACAAAGGCAGGGAAGGGCUCAGGGAAUGUUCCAGGUGUGGGAAUCCCAGCGUCCCCUCCAUCCCCUCCGGCCAUCGGCGUUCAGCCGGGACUUCUAGUCCUCUUUCACCAACGCGGGGUGUUGUGCAACUGCUGCCGGCCAGGCUCAGGCGGGAACAGGAAAGGCCACCUCGCGUUGGAAUGGGCCAGAAGCUCUUUCCACAGAGGUGACAUUUUAAUUGAGUCCCAAGGAAGGAGAAGGAGCCAGAGCAAAGGGCAGGCUGAGGAGCCUUGGAAGGCCAGGGCGCCGAGAUGGGGUGCAGAGUGGGCGGAUUAAAGGCCCCAGAAGAUGCCUCACCUGAAUCCCUGCAGCCUGCGAAUGUCACUGUACCUGAGGAACAAAAGGUCUUUGCCAGAUAAGGUGGCAGAAUUAAGAUGCUUCACUAAGAUCCUUCAUGAAGGAUUCAAGAUGGGGAGAUUGUCCUGGAUCACCCGGGGGAACUCCUCAUGCAAAAGCGUCCCCACGAGAGGAGGCAGAGGAGCUAGCCCUACACAGGGCAGCCAAAGGGCAGUGGGAAGCAACUGAAGCAGGAAUGGACGUGACGCAGCCACCAGCCAAGGCCACCUGCAGCCCCAGACACUGGAAGAGACAGAAAGGACACUCCCCUGGAGCCCCAGGAGGGAGCAAGGCCCUUCCUGUCUGAUUGAGCCCAGUGGUGCUGACCCACACUUCUGGUCUGGAACUGUAAGAUAAUUUUGUAUUGUUUUUAAGCCACAAAAUGCUUGAAAAUGUGUUAGCCACAAGGGGCAAGAGGAUGGUUACCCAGACAGGUCAGGCGGUGGGAAAAAUCCUCACCCCUUUUAAAGUGAUUCGAGGCUAGGGAGGUAGCUCAGCCGUAGAGCGCUGGUCGUCACGUGCCAGACUGCGUCCAAUCUCUAAUGCUGCAGAGACAGAAGGGAAGAAAGAAAGGCGGAGGGUGGGGGGCAGAUAGGGGAAGGAAGAAAUAAAUUUGACUGUUAUAAGCAGGACGUGGUGGCUCAUGACUGUAGCUGCUGUAGCUUGGGAGGCUGAGACAGGAGGUUGCAAGUUCAAGGCCAGCCUCAGCAAAUUGAGUGAAGUCCUAAGCAACUCAGCAAGACCCUGUCUCAAAAAGUAAAAAGGGCUGGGGAGGUGGCUCAGUGAUGGUGUCCCUGGGUGGAGAGAAAGCAAGCCCUCCACUCCUCUCUUUCUCUCUCGUCCCCACACGGUGACUUCCUUUAAACCCCUCCUGCCUCGCCUUGUGCCUGGGCUCGGGAGGCCAUGGGAAGCUGCUUCUGCCACCCAGCUCCUGGCUGUCAGCACCCACAGUGGCAGCAGGAUUGCUGCAAGCUCUGUCACUCUAGCAGCUGAUAAACCCCACAAGCUGCGGAUCUGGAGCCUGGGCCUCCAGCCCUGAUAAGUUGGGGCUGUCAGCGCCGGGUCUGCAGCUGCCGCAAGCCAGGAGUCCAGGGCCUCCGCCCCACACACUCGGAACUUCCUGCUGCCUGUUUACAGCCAAGCCCAGGCCACCUUGAGGUGACCCUAGGAAGCCAGGCUUGCAGCAGCAGGAGAGGGACGGAGGGUUGGCCGCACGUGGGGCAAGUCCACCGUGGUGACGUUCUCCUGCCUCAAAUGCCGUCCGGGGCCCUCAUUUCCAGACGAUUUCUUCUGUUCUCCAAGGGAUCAGUGUGUGGGCGGCCAGAGAGAAGCCAGCAGGGAGUAGACAGAAUUCAACCGUGAUUGUCGGGAAGGCUCAGCAUCCUGGGGACCCUUCCCAAGGCACCCUGCAACCCCAGAGAGUGGUUUUGUCCCUCCAGACACAUUUGGUGAUGUCCAAUGUGUUAUCUCCUGUUGCCACCAGGGAGGGGGGCUACCUACAUCCCAUGGGCAGAUGCCCAGGGGCAGCUCAACACCCCAUCACGCUCAGGAGCACCCAACCCAGCCCAGGCAUCGUUAGUGCCGGAGUUGAGAAGCCCCAAGCCGAACACGGGAGCAAAUCUGGAAGGGGGCCUCCAAGUGCCUCGCCCAGAGGGGCUAAGGCCAGUCCAAGCCCUGCUGGAGCCCGGACAAGGACCAGGGUCGCCUGUCAAAGGCCUCCCAGAAGACCAGGCGAGCCCUCAUGUCCCCAGUGCUGGCACUUCCCCGCUCUUCAGGUGUCCAUGCAGGUGAUGCUCCUCCCGGCGGUGCUCCCACACAGCAGCUCUGGGUGAGGAGGAGGAACGAUUACUAACCCCAUUUUACAGCAGAAGCCCCGGCUUUGGCUCCCUGCCAAGGUUGCCACUCACAGGUGGGGACCUUCCUUCAGCACCUCAGACUGCUACUGGAUGACACAGGUAAUCUGUGGGCGCCAGCGCCCUGAGCUCGUGUGGCUGGGAGUUUCCUGUUCUGAUGGAGAACGCCUUGGGGCCCCGUGGCCAGGGGAGCUGGUAGACCUGGAGGAGUCACAUGGAAGUCACUUGGCCACCACAGCUGGUGUGAAGUGCUGUCGGCUGCUCUCACAUUGCCCAGAUUCUACAGCCCCCUCCCCACGCGGGACUCAGGGCAGCUGCAGGUGUGCAGUGUGGCCAGAGAGCGUCUCCGGCCCCGGGCUCGGUGACCCACACCUGGCUCACAGCAGCCUGGAGCGUGUGGAGUUCAGAGGACCCUCCUGCCCCGUCCACAGAAUGGGUGACAAGAUCCGUGAGCUCCUCGGCCAUCCCUGGUAGAAGAGCUAGAAAAGCCGGGAGAGAAGUGGAGGUCGGCCCAAGACAGGUGACCAUGGAGGUGCAGAGGCCUCCUGCUUUUGAGACUGACCCGUCCUGCCCUGCCCCACUCCCUGGGUGAGAGGGGCCCAGCCAACACCCACGACACCCACCAUGCACUCUGCAAAUACCCCAAAUGCCCCUCCCUGUCCUCAGAAAUGUGUGAGUCAAGAAAAAGAGAAAGACCAACUGUAGCUGUUGUCAUUUUGCUAUUUCAUUAAUUACAAGGGCCAGAUCUCACCGGGACCCACCCAAACUCAGGAGUCAGUGGUAGAAAAAUGAUGGAAAGCCCCCAAGCAUGGCAUGGCAACCUGGAAGUUCAGACUAGGGGCCUGGGGCCUCAGGGAGAACGAGGGGCCAGGCUGGGGGGAGAUGUGCCUGUCGUCUUCCUCGGUGCCCCCCCACUUCUGCCCUGAUGCUCUGGGGGCUUCCCAGCCUUGACUCCACGCCCACCUGCUUGUCCACUUCUGCCUGAGUCUCAUGGAACCAGGCUGCCAGGGACAGGAAGCCAGCGAGCCACCCGUCACCCGUGUGGUGAGCAUGCAGACUGUCCCCAGGCCCUGGUUCAGCUGAGCCCCCACCGUAUCAUCUGGCUGCCUCCUUGGUGGAUGUGAGCAGCUACUGAGCCCCGAGUCCUGGAGUCACAGUGGGGAGCCCACAGCGCUCUGCGUGGAGCUGAUGUAUCACCAAAGGAGAGAAGGGUCCUGCGGAAACGGAAAGAGAAUAAGCCUCUCCGAGGGCCUGGGAAGGCCUUUCUGAAGAGGUGGCAUCUAAGAGGAAGGAGAGGGAGGGCUGUGGACAGGCCCUGUGAAAGGCACUCGGUGUGUUGGUGGACAGGAGCGAUGACCGUGGGCCUGGGCCUGGGGUGAGGGGUGAGCAGGGCCGAGCUCUGUGGGGCCUCCUUGACUGUGGGAGUCAGGUCUCACCAGGGGCCGUGGGCAGCCACUAAACUGAACAGAAAUAGGCCAACAGGUCCCACUUGCCACCCUUCCUGCCUUGGAAAAAACCUUAGGAUAAAAGGAAAGGACAAGGCCAGGCCCUGGAGAGCCGGAGAGGAGUCGUCUCUGUGCAGCAAGGCUGCGGGCCCUCGGUGUCCCAUGCAGAGGCUGACUUCAUGGGACUUCUCCUGCUGCCCCCGCGGCCAUGUCCCUGAGGGUGGAGUGCUGGGAGCCUAGAGACCAAGGGGGGGAAGAAGUCUUGAGCUUCCUGACCCGAGGCCGGCUGGGCUGGGACUCCCAGGCCCUCAGGGCUCCUGGGCUGAGCACCAGGCUGCCAGACGGCUACCUGGGCAUCCCCCCCUCCACCCGCACCCCCAGAGUAGAGCAGAAAGCAAAAAGGACGGUCAAAAAAGGAAAGCCACGGCUGGAAGGUCAGUCAGCACCGGGAACGGGCGGCUCUGCCCCUCGCCUUGGCGCUGGCCUGGCGCAGCCGGGAAGCGGCUGAAGCAGCUCCAGGGUGUGCGGGCGGGGCUGGCCAGGGGAGAGGUGCCCGGGACCACCAGCCAUUGGGCGGUGCCAUUGGCCUUGCAGGCUGACCUCAUUGCCCAGGCCCGCAGGAGUGCUUCCUGGGGUCACAUUCCGUGCUGAAGAGCCCCUCUCCAAGACCUUGGUUGGCGCCAAUGUCUUUUUAGGAACCGAGGCUCUAAUUUUAGUGUUCCGGCCUUCGACACCUCUUGAAAUAGCUCCCUGUUUUCCCCUAUGUUCCUGCCCCCUCCUUGGAGAAGGUGAACCCCCUGCGUCCCCGUGAUCCAAGUUGGUCCGCUCAAGCCCAAGGCCUUGUAUGGGUCUCCGUGGGGGAGCCGUGUCCCUGGUGUGUUUGUGACGCUGGACCCAGAGGACCCACCUCUGGCCAGCGCAGCUCACAGCCCCCACGUUGGCAGCGACACUGGGCAGGGCACGGUCAGUGCUCACCCCUCUUCCUCGUCCAUCUGCCUUCCUCAGGGACAUCAUGGAUUCAUAUGACCCAAUCCAGGUUCCACCCCCUGAGAACCAAGGUGCCAACUCACCCAGCCCCACCUGUGGGACCCAGGGUGAGUGGGUAGCUCGGCCCAGGGGAGCCUCCGUUGCCUUCUCGGGUUCUGCACCCUCUUGUCCCAACAAUGACAAUUGCUAAGUGUUUCCUGGGGACUUGCUGUGGGUGACAGGUGCUUCUCGUGGAUGGUUUCAUUUGACUCCCUCAACUACCUUGUCGAGGUGGGUACUAUAAUUGUCCCCAAGUGCCAAAAGGUGGAACAGGAAUUUGAACUCAGGAAAUGCGGCUCCCAGCCCUUGCCUCAUGGUGCCCGUGGUUCUCCUACCUGAAUGCUCUUUGAUCCCUGCGAUGGCCUCUCCCCUUUGCCUUUGUCUCGGCCCUCCACUCAGUUCUUCUACCAAGCAGACCAGAGGUUCUGUCUAGGUUGCCUGAGGUCACACAGCAAACUAGUGAUGGAUGAAAACACUGCUCCAAAGGUCCAAGCCCCAGGUGGGAUUCCAGGAAGGAACUGGAGCCUGGCUCAGAGGUGACGGCUCUGCGAGAAGGUCAUGGUGCAGGCCACACCUGGGCAAAGAAGGUGCUUUCAGGAAACAGCCAGGGAGGGGCAUCACGUCCUGGGAAGGCUCAGCCAGCUGCCCUGUCCCCAACAGCCCUGUCUGUCCCAUGUGCUCUAUCCAUGCACAGGGCCAGAGAGAGCCUGGGAAGGCAGGGGCUGCCCAGCCUGAAAAUGACCAGAGGGAGUGACUGCCACCCAGUGCCUCCCAUUUAAAUAAUGCAAAGGCUGCAGACUCAGGGCACUCUCGGAAUGCAGCAAAGAAGGGUCAGCCAGGCGUUGGUGACGGACAGAUUCCAGUGUCAACCCUGGGAGUCUCCAUCUGAGACCUGCCCCACCCCACGAGGCCACCCUGCCCACCCACACGCCCCUGCAUCUCCCCUGCCCUAACUCAUAAUCUCCAAAGUGCCCUCAUACCACUGUGGCUUGCCCACCUCUGGGGACCCUGAGAACUGAGACCCCCAUCGGGGAAGGGAACCUAGGGCCUCCCACUGGGGUCCUUCCAUCAGGCAGCAACAAACCGGUUUGCUGUCAACCUGUAGACCACCUGGUCCUCUAAAGGAGGCCCAGAGAAGCUACAUGGGACCAAAGACAGCCCCCCCCCACCGGCUCUGCCCACCUGUCCCAAGGCCUUGCUGCGCACGAGGCCUGCGCUCUGCCCCUGAGCCGUGCCUCCAGCCCAGACUUGGUGUCUUCUUUCCCAGGCCACAGACACACUUUGGAAGCAUCUGGACCCCUGGCUCUGCUCCUGCCCACUCGUCUGACUUGGUCACUCACUGUACCUUGGACUUGGGUCCACCUGUCGGGAGCCUGUGAUAUUCUGCUGCCCAUUUCAGAACCAGGUGCCCCAGGCACAGCUUUGCCAGGGGAGCCCCACCUGGCCUUUCCCAGGGAACCCAAGACUGGGUUUUGCUAUUCUUUAAAAAGGUCACCAAGGGGCUGGGGAUAUAGCUCAGUGGGUAGAGUGCUUGCCUCGCAGGCACAAGGCCCUGGGUUCAAUCCCCAGCACCACAAAAAGAAAGUCACUGACCUCACAUUAACGUUA